CGCCUUGCCAGCCCGCUCAGAAACUUAAAUGAAUUGACGGGGCCCGCACAAGCGGUGGAGUAUGUGGUUUAAUUCGAUGCAACGCGAAGAACCUUACCUGGUCUUGACAUCCCGGAGACCCUUAGGAAACUAGGGGGUGCUUCCAUCUGGAAGAAUCUGGAGACAGGUGCUGCAUGGCUGUCGUCAGCUCGUGUCGUGAGAUGUUGGGUUAAGUCCCGCAACGAGCGCAACCCUUGCCUUUAGUUGCCAGCAGUUCGGCUGGGCACUCUAAAGGGACUGCCGGUGUUAAACCGGAGGAAGGUGGGGAUGACGUCAAGUCCUCAUGGCCUUUAUGACCAGGGCUACACACGUACUACAAUGGCCGAUACAAAGGGCAGCGACACUGCGAGGUGAAGCCAAUCCCGUAAAAUCGGUCUCAGUCCGGAUUGGAGUCUGCAACUCGACUCCAUGAAGUUGGAAUCGCUAGUAAUCGUGGAUCAGCAUGCCACGGUGAAUACGUUCCCGGGCCUU
rnacentral:rRNA from 1 species